GCCAUCUGUUUAAAAGGACUGAUGCAUUUUAUAUUACAAAGUGGAAUGCUUACGUAAGUGUCAAACUGAGCAUUGUCUCUUACUGGUGGCGUCUCCACCAAAGUGUAAACCAUAACGUGGAUGCAAAUCUCACCGGUUGCAUUCAAAGACUCGUAAUUGAUUCCUAGGAUUGGAUUCCACAGGAAAAUGUGCUUGACGGUCAGAAGCCCUUGCUACUUUAUCCUAACUGUGGUGACGAUCUGGAAAGGAGUCUUGGUCACUGACCCAACAGCCAACGGAGAGACACCCUGCCAUAUGGUUAGACUCUGUGCAUCACGGACUGAAGUCAGAAAAAGCUUGCCAAGCCCUGAUGCAGAAGAUUGUUGAGUAAAAAACAUCAUUCCCAGCACCGCCAAGCAUGCGCUAAUCUCUUCUCUGCGUCUUCCAAAUUGUGGCUCCAGAUGUUGUCCCUGAUUCAUGGGGUGUUCACGAAAGCUGGCAAGGCCACCGACAAAUGUGUUACAGCUUUUCUGCUGCAGAUCUGAGCUCAUCACCCACAGCCCCUACCUGUGGCUCUCCCUGUGGACCCGCCUUCCCCUGUGUGCCAUGUGGCUGCGAUUUCAACUCUGACGGUCGGGGAAUCGACGCCUUGGACGUGCCUCCACUUACUGACAGACAUUUAAGUGGCUCAGACGAAGGACACUGAAAAAACAUAGCGAGACAAUGCUGUCUCGGGCUUUCAAAGGCAUUCGGGAUGUUUGUUUUCCAAAAAAAGGUCACUUGACGGAUUAGGGGGGAAAAUGCAGUAUUUAAGAGAGAAAACUUGCCAUCUUAGUGACUGCUGCGCCUUGAAAAACAAACAGACCGACAAAGCUGGCCUCAAGUUUCCAACUUGUUACAGAAGAACGAUAAGAAUAGCAUAAAAUGGAGAACUGAGGUAUUUCAAAUUAAUUUAGAUAUUAUUUAAGAAUAUAUAUAUGUACAUUUAGGAAUGUAGAUGUAUAUAUGUAUGU
rnacentral:lncRNA from 1 species